GUCGUAACAAGGUUUCCGUAGGUGAACCUGCGGAAGGAUCAUUACCACACCAAAAAAUCCACAACCUCGUGAACUGUUUUAAAUUGAAUUGAUAUUCAUUUUGUAACUGCUUAUGCUUUUAUGUGUAAUGAAUAACAAAACCAAUUACCCCAAUUAUUUUAAAAUUUAAUAACUUUUAUCUGAAACUAUGUAAUAAAUGAAUUACAACUUUCAGCAGUGGAUGUCUUGGCUCACA
rnacentral:misc_RNA from 1 species